rnacentral:rRNA from 1 species
UUGCUUCUUAAUUAGGAGCUGGAAUGAAAGAGGCGACGAAAUCUAGACUAUUUAGAUUUUAAAAGAAAUUGACAUGCACGUUAAAAGGCUUGUGUAAACCAGAGGGACGAUAAGACCCUAUAAAACUUUACUUUUUGUGUGACAUCUGACAGGACACUUUUACACUAAAGAGUUUAACUGGGGCGGUAGUUAUAAAAACAAUUAUAUAUUUAAUAUAUUAAAUAGCGGAGUAGAACUCUUAGAGAAAUAGAACAAGUUACUUUAGGGAUAACAGCGUAAUUCUCCCAGAGAGUCCUAAUUGGCGGGAGAGCUUACGACCUCGAUGUUGAAUUGGGGUUUCUUGUGUAAGCAAAAAUACACCUAGACAGUCUGUUCG